rnacentral:rRNA from 1 species
GACGAACGCUGGCGGCGUGCUUAACACAUGCAAGUCGAACGGUGAAGCGCCUUCCUUUUUGGUGGGUGUGGAUGAGUGGCGAACGGGUGAGUAACACGUGAGUAACCUGCCCCCUUCUUCUGGAUAACCGCAUGAAAGUGUGGCUAGUACGGGAUAUUCUGGGUCUGUCGCAUGAUGGGUCUGGGAAAGAUAUUGUUUCGGUGGGGGAUGGGCUCGCGGCCUAUCAGCUUGUUGGUGGGGUGAUGGCCUACCAAGGCGGUGACGGGUAGCCGGCCUGAGAGGGUGGACGGUCACACUGGGACUGAGACACGGCCCAGACUCCUACGGGAGGCAGCAGUGGGGAAUAUUGCACAAUGGGCGCAAGCCUGAUGCAGCGACGCCGCGUGAGGGAUGGAGGCCUUCGGGUUGUGAACCUCUUUCGCCAGUGAAGCAGGCCUGCCUCGUUUGUGGGUGGGUUGACGGUAGCUGGAGAAGAAGCGCCGGCUAACUACGUG